UACGUAGGGUCCGAGCGUUGUCCGGAAUUACUGGGCGUAAAGAGCUCGUAGGUGAUUUGUCGCGUUGUUCGUGAAAACUCACAGCUCAACUGUGGGCGUGCGGGCGAUACGGGCAGACUAGAGUACUGCAGGGGAGACUGGAAUUCCUGGUGUAGCGGUGGAAUGCGCAGAUAUCAGGAGGAACACCGGUGGCGAAGGCGGCUCACUGGGCCAUUACUGACGCUGAGGAGCGAAAGCGUGGGGAGCGAACAGG
rnacentral:rRNA from 1 species